CUUUUCAAUGCUUUCCUAUGGGGAAAUGAGCAAUGCUGGAGGUCCUCACACAGCGUGAGGACAUCUAGCGACGCUCUAGCACAGGUUUCCUGUGCUAGGGACAUGGAAGUGCCCUCUAGUGGCUGUCUAGUAGACAGCCACUAGAGGUGGAGUUAACCCUGCAAGGUAAUUAUGGCAGUUUAUAAAAAAACUGCAAUAAUUACAGUUGCAGGGUUAAGAGUAGUGGGAGUUGGCACCCAG